CUGGCUCAGGACGAACGCUGGCGGCGUGCCUAACACAUGCAAGUCGAACGGAGGUUUUCAGCAAUGGAGAUCUUAGUGGCGAACGGGUGAGU
rnacentral:rRNA from 1 species